rnacentral:rRNA from 1 species
GACGAACGCUGGCGGCGUGCUUAACACAUGCAAGUCGAACGGAAAGGCCCUGCUUGCAGGGUACUCGAGUGGCGAACGGGUGAGUAACACGUGGGUGAUCUGCCCUGCACUUCGGGAUAAGCUUGGGAAACUGGGUCUAAUACCGGAUAGGAGCCAUCUUUAGUGUGGGGGUUGGAAAGUUUUUUCGGUGUAGGAUGAGCUCGCGGCCUAUCAGCUUGUUGGUGGGGUAAUGGCCUACCAAGGCGGCGACGGGUAGCCGGCCGGGGAGGGUGUACGGCCACAUUGGGACUGAGGUACGGCCCAGACUCCUACGAGAGGCAGCAGUGGGGAAGAUUGCACAAUGGGCGCAAGCCUGAUGCAGCGACGCCGCGUGGGGGAUGAAGGCCUUCGGGUUGUAAACUCCUUUCGCUAGGGACGAAGCUUUUUUGUGACGGUACCUAGAUAAGAAGCACCGGCUAACUACGUG